GAGUGAGAAGAGGUGGGAGGAAGAGAAACUACGCCACCUCCCCUGCAGCCGAGUGCACGCAGCAGCCUGGCGUGACAAGUGGGCGACGCCGGGGGGCAGGGAGCCGGGGUCCUUGGCCCUGGCCGGGGACCCCACCGCCCACCGCGCGGAGGACAACUUUUAGCCGGCAGCCCAGACCAGCGCGGCACCUGUCUCCGGAGUCUCCACCGCUCCUCCCGAUUCAUCCCAGGGAAAUUCUCAAGAAUACGCUCUACAAAUCUACGUGCGCAUCAUUUUCACCUCGCGUCGCGCCCGGGAGGAAGGAACGAGGCAAGGAGCUAAAGCAGCGUGCGUUCAGCCCUGGGGAGGAAAAUGGAAGAAACGGAGAUACUUUUAGUGAAACAGAAUAAACCACUGAACAGGAAAAAUGAGGAAGCUGUGAGUACCAGUGGAAGGAACGAGCCAGGAAGAGGGACUGGAACCAUCUCAGAAGCCAGGCCCCUCAGGCUGGAACUUGCCCUGUCUCCUCGCAGAUGAGACAGACUUUUAAGUACGAGAAAGCUAAUGGCGCAGAUUCUGCUGACUGUGUGGCUCUCGUCUUAAUGCGUUUUCCAACCUUGAACCUGAGAAUGCCAGA
rnacentral:antisense_RNA from 1 species